rnacentral:rRNA from 1 species
CGGUGUCUUGGGUGGCUAGCGAGUUUACUUUGAAAAAAUUAGAGUGCUUAACACAGGCUAACGCCUGAAUACUCGUGCAUGGAAUAAUAGAAUAAGACCACGGNUCUAAUUGUUGNNCGAGANUAAGGCGUAGGNGUGUGUUGACACUCUUUANUUUUCAGAGAGACCCCACCCNAAAC